UACGGGGGGGGCAAGCGUUGUUCGGAAUUACUGGGCGUAAAGGGCUCGUAGGCGGCCAACUAAGUCGGACGUGAAAUCCCUCGGCUUAACCGGGGAACUGCGUCCGAUACUGGAUGGCUUGAGUUCGGGAGAGGGAUGCGGAAUUCCAGGUGUAGCGGUGAAAUGCGUAGAUAUCUGGAGGAACACCGGUGGCGAAGGCGGCAUCCUGGACCGACACUGACGCUGAGGAGCGAAAGCCAGGGGAGCAAACAGGG
rnacentral:rRNA from 1 species